rnacentral:tRNA from 1 species
GCGGAAAUAGCUCAGUGGUAGAGCACCACCUUGCCAAGGUGGGGGUCGCGGGUUCGAAACCCGUUUUCCUCU